UACGAAGGGGGCUAGCGUUGCUCGGAAUGACUGGGCGUAAAGGGCGCGUAGGCGGAUUGUACAGUCAGGCGUGAAAUUCCCCGGGCUCAACCUGGGGGUUGCGCUUGAGACGUGCGAUCUUGAGUGGGGAAGAGGGUCGUGGAAUUCCCAGUGUAGAGGUGAAAUUCGUAGAUAUUGGGAAGAACACCGGUGGCGAAGGCGGCGACCUGGUUCGAUACUGACACUGAGGUGCGAAAGCGUGGGGAGCAAACAGG
rnacentral:rRNA from 1 species